AACUGAUACUACCUGCGGGAACCUGCGGAGGGAUCAUUAAUGAGAAGCUGCCCCUCGUGGGUAGACCUCCCACCCUCUGUGAACUUACCUUUGUUGCUUUGGCAGGCCCGUCCUCUGGACCGCCGGCUUCGGCUGGCCCGUGCCUGCCAGAGGAUUCCAAACCCUGUCUGUCAGUGUUGUCUGAGUCUAUAUGAAAUCGUUAAAACUUUUAACAAUGGAUCUCUAGAUCGGAAGAGCACA
rnacentral:misc_RNA from 1 species